CCUUAGCCCAGAUAGUAGCGGCAUCCUUUUACUUUUUUUCUUUAAAAAAGUAAAAGAUAUAGCGGAUAGCUGGAAAUAGC
rnacentral:sRNA from 1 species